GACGGAGGGUGCAAGCGUUGCUCGGAAUCACUGGGCGUAAAGGGUGCGUAGGCGGUCUCGCAAGUCUGGCGUGAAAGCCCAAGGCUCAGCCUUGGAAGUGCGCUCGAAACGGCGAGGCUGGAGUGCCGGAGGGGGGUGGAAUUCCACGUGUAGCAGUGAAAUGCGUAGAGAUGUGGAGGAACACCGAUGGCGAAGGCAGCCCCCUGGGCUAACACUGACGCUCAGGCACGAAAGCGUGGGGAGCAAACAGG
rnacentral:rRNA from 1 species